AUUGAACGCUGGCGGCAUGCCUUACACAUGCAAGUCGAACGAUGAAGCCGGAGCUUGCUCUGGUGAAUUAGUGGCGAACGGGUGAGUAACACGUGAGUAACCUGCCCUUGACUCUGGGAUAACUGCGGGAAACUGUAGCUAAUACCGGAUACGACCCUCGGAGGCAUCUCCUGGGGGUGGAAAGAAUUUCGGUCAAGGAUGGACUCGCGGCCUAUCAGCUAGUUGGUGAGGUAAAGGCUCACCAAGGCGACGACGGGUAGCCGGCCUGGGAGGGUGACCGGCCACACUGGGACUGAGACACGGCCCAGACUCCUACGGGAGGCAGCAGUGGGGAAUAUUGCACAAUGGGCGCAAGCCUGAUGCAGCAACGCCGCGUGAGUGAUGAAGGCCUUAGGGUUGUAAAGCUCUUUCGUCCGGGACGAUAAUGACGGUACCGGAAGAAGAAGCCCCGGCUAACUUCGUGCCAGCCGCCGCAGUAA
rnacentral:rRNA from 1 species